AAGAGAAAAAAUCGGAUUUAUCAU
rnacentral:miRNA from 1 species